rnacentral:rRNA from 1 species
AGUGAACGCUGGCGGUAGGCCUAACACAUGCAAGUCGAACGGCAGCACAGUAAGAGCUCGCUCUUACGGGUGGCGAGUGGCGGACGGGUGAGGAAUACAUCGGAAUCUACUUUUUCGUGGGGGAUAACGUAGGGAAACUUACGCUAAUACCGCAUACGACCUACGGGUGGAAGCAGGGGAUCUUCGGACCUUGCGCGAUUGAAUGAGCCGAUGUCGGAUUAGCUAGUUGGCGGGGUAAAGGCCCACCAAGGCGACGAUCCGUAGCUGGUCUGAGAGGAUGAUCAGCCACACUGGAACUGAGACACGGUCCAGACUCCUACGGGAGGCAGCAGUGGGGAAUAUUGGACAAUGGGCGCAAGCCUGAUCCAGCCAUACCGCGUGGGUGAAGAAGGCCUUCGGGUUGUAAAGCCCUUUUGUUGGGAAAGAAAAGCAGCAGGUUAAUACCCCGCUGUUCUGACGGUACCCAAAGAAUAAGCACCGGCUAACUUCGUG